UACAGAGGCCUCGAGCGUUAGGCGGAAUCACUGGGCUUAAAGCGUGUGUAGGCGGAUUGGUAAGUACCUUGUGAAAUCCCACAGCUUAACUGUGGAACUGCUCGGUAUACUGCUGAUCUUGAGCCACUCAGGGGCUACCGGAACAAAUGGUGGAGCGGUGAAAUGCGUAGAUAUCAGGAGGAACACCGGUGGCGAAGGCGGGUCUCUGGGCCGAUACUGACGCUGAGGAGCGAAAGCGUGGGGAGCGAACAGG
rnacentral:rRNA from 1 species